ensembl:snoRNA
CGCCCCAGUGCUAGCUCCUUUUUAGAGCUCUUUAAAAAAAAACAAUCUUUUUGUGGCUACCUUGAGACACUGGUUAUACUUCCCAUCACAGUUAAGUUUACUGCAGUAGUGACCAUGAGACCUGUAGCAUUU